rnacentral:ncRNA from 1 species
ACUCAUAGAGUAUUCCGGUGAAAAGGGAAACAGGUGAAAAUCCUGUACGAACUCGUCACCGUAAUUAGGGAGCAUCAGCGAUGACAUCACUGGGAAACUGGGAAGAUAGCGAAAUGCAACGAUCUAUAAGCCGGGAGACCUGCCUGAUGAUU